GAUGAACGCUGGCGGCGUGCCUAACACAUGCAAGUCGAGCGAACAGACGAGGAGUUUGCUCUUCUGACGUUAGCGGCGGACGGGUGAGUAACACGUGGACAACCCACCUAUAAGGCUGGGAUAACGUCGAGAAAGCGUAGCUAAUGCCGGAUAACAUAUUGAGCAGGAUGGUUCAAUAGUGAAAUCGGGUUUUGCUGUCACCUAUUGAUGGAUUCGCGCCGCAUUAGCUAGUUGGUAGGGUAACGGCUUACCAAGGCGACGAUGCGUAGCCGACCUGAGAGGGUGAUCAGCCACACUGGGACUGAGACACGGUCCAGACUCCUACGGGAGGCAGCAGUGGGGAAUCUUCGGCAAUGGGCGAAAGCUUGACCGAGCAACGCCGCGUGAGUGAAGAAGGUCUUCGGGUCGUAAAACUCUGUUAUUAGGGAAGAACACAUGUGUAAGUAACUAUGCACGUCUUGACGGUACCUAAACAAAAAGCCACGGCUAACUACGUG
rnacentral:rRNA from 1 species